rnacentral:rRNA from 1 species
GACGAACGCUGGCGGCGUGCCUAACACAUGCAAGUCGAGCGAAUGAAGUUCCUUCGGGAAUGGUUUUAGAGGCGGACGGGUGAGUAACACGUGGGCAACAUGCCUCAUAGAGGGGAAUAGCCUCCCGAAAGGGAGAUUAAUACCGCAUAAGAUUGUAGCACCGCAUGAUACAGCAAUUAAAGGAGCCAUCCGCUAUGAGAUGGGCCCGCGGCGCAUUAUCUAGUUGGUGAGGUAAUGGCUCACCAAGGCGACGAUGCGUAGCCGACCUGGUAGGGUGAUCGGCCACAUUGGGACUGAGACACGGCCCAGACUCCUACGGGAGGCAGCAGUAGGGAGUAUUGCACAAUGAGGGAAACCCUGAUGCAGCAGCGCCGCGUGAGUGGUGACGGCCUUCGGGUUGUAAAUCUCUGUCUUCAGGGACGAUAAUGACGGUAACUGGGGAAGAAGCCACGGCUAACUACGUG